AUUUAUAUAGUUUAAUAUUAAAAACCUAUUAUUUUCAAUAAUAAAAUAGGAAAUAAUUCCUUAUAAAUA
rnacentral:tRNA from 1 species